ensembl:lncRNA
CUAUGGAUACCUAUAUUCGGGACUCCCUAGCUGCUGGAUUUAUCUGUCCCUCUUCCUCUCUUCUUCGUGGAGAAAAAAGACUAGAAUCUGCGCCCGUGCAUUGACUAUCGGUGCAUUGACUACUUCCCCCCAGUCAGCACUGACCUCGCCAAGGUUCCGUUCACGUGGUCUCCAGCUGCUGACCGGGCACUCCAGGACCUCAAACAUCGCUUCACCACAGCUCCCAUCCUGGUUCAUCCUGACCCAUCUCAUCAGUUCGUGGUGGAACUGAGGUUUCAGAUAUCGGAGUGGGGGCUGUCCUGUCCCAGCAUUCUGCCCUUGACUUCAAGCUAAAUCCCUAUGCCUUCUCCCAUUGCCUCAACGCCAUGGAAGGGAACUGCGAUGUGGGAAAUCAUGAGCUUCUCGCUGUGAAGUUGGCGUUGGAGGAAUGGAUGCACUGGCUGGAGGGGGCGGAACAUCCGCUCAUUGUGUGGACUGACCACAAGAACCUGGAGUAUCAAAUCAAAUCAAAUCAAAUCUGAAAAAGUAUCUCUGCACUGCCAAGCUCCACAACUCCAGCCAAGCCAGAUGGGCCCUGCUGUUCACACGAAUCAGCUUCUCCCGCUUAUACCGGCCGGGAUCCAAGAAUGUCAAGCUGGAUGCUAGCCCCAUGACUACUACCCUGGAACCCAAGACCAUCCUUCCCACUUCAUGCCUGGCGAUGGCACUCAGCUGGGGAGUAGGGAAGCAGGUCCGUGAGGCACAGCGUUCUCAGCCAAACCCCAGGGGGGGUCUGAUAACCGAAUGUUUGUUCCUGAUGCCGUCCACUCCGCUGUCAUGGAGUGGGCCCACUCCUCCAGGCUUGCCUGCCACCUGGGUGCCUGUCGGACGCUGGCCUUUGUGCGACAAAGCUUUUGGUGGUCAACUAUGGUUCCUGACGUGUCUGCAUUCAUCACCACUUGCACGGUGUGCACAGAACAAGACUCCUCUGCAAGCUCCGGCUGGUCUCCUCCAACCUCUGCCUGUCCCCCACCGUCCCUGGUCUCACAUCUCCCAGGACUUUGUCACAGGUCUUCCCCCAUCUGAUGGCAACAUCGCCAUCCUGACCGUGGUGAAUCGGUUUUCCAAAGCCGCCCACUUCAUUACUCUCCCCAAACUAUCCUCUGCAAAAGAGACGGCCCAGCUCAUGAUGCAGCACAUCUUAAGGAUCCAUGGACUGCCCGUGGACAUGGUCUCCGACCAGGGUCCUCAGUUCUCGUCCAAGUUCUGGAAGGUAUUCUUCACCCUCAUUUUGUCGUUGGCCAGCCUGUCCUCAGGGUUCCACUACCAGUCCAACGGCCAGUCAGAGCGAGCCAACCUGUGCUUCCUGGUCUCCGGCAACCCCACCACCUGGAGCCAGCAGUUUGUGUGCCUAUCUCCAUUUGAGUGUUCCCUGGGGUAUCAGCCCCCACUCUUCCCUGAGCAGGAAGAGGAGGUUGGCAUACCUUCUGCCCAGAUGUUUGUCUGCCGCUGUCGUCGUACCUGGAGGAGAGCCCAGUCAGCCCUCCUCAAGACCAUCUCCAGGUAUCGACGACAAGCAGAUUGCCAUCGGACCCCGGCUCCCCGGUAUCGUCUCAGGCAGAAGGCCCACCCCUCCCUUCCGUGUUGUUGAUGGCCAUCCACACAGUGAGAUGCCUCCUGAGGGUUUGACCACGGGGCAGGGGUUUCCAGUACCUGGUUGACUGGGAGGGUUAUGGCCUGGAGGGGAGAUGCUGGGUCCCCGCUAGAGACAUCCUGGACCCAACCCUCAUCACUGACUUCCACCGCCGGCACCCCGGUCAACCAGGACCACUCCGUAUCUGACACUUCCUCAAAAUAAGCUCUUCAGCAGAAGCGCCUCUUGGGGAGAGUGUCUCGGUUGGCCCUCUGCGACACAGCAAUCACCCACCACCACCAUAGCAGGAGUGUGACAAUCGUCCAAGAGGUGUCAUAACAGCUGCCUCGGUUGCGGCGACGUAAAUAACCAUGGCGACACGACGAACUACCUCCCCGACAAUGCAUGCUUCCCCCAACUGCCUCAUGACCCAAUGGAAGUCUGCCUGGCUGCCCCUACUGUGUGUAAGCAACUCAACACGGAGAGGGAAGAGAUCGUACUGUCAGACAGACGACCCAAGACAAGUGGUAACACUGUACUUGAACCAACCGUGCCACAAAGCAUACUUUACAUGGACAUUAGCAAGGUAUAACGGAGCUCGUAGGUUGUCACCAUAGCUGGCAAUAGGAUGCUAGCUCAUCUGCUAGCACCCUAAAUUGCAGAAAAUGUCAACUUUAUCAUAGGACAAUUGACGUCAUGCUAUAUUUUGGACGAGGUAAACUGAGCUUCAUAAUGAGCUUUUGGAAAUGAGGUGACAGGUCAGAGGUCAGCUCAAGCCAUAUAUCUCCUAUAGCGGUCCCCACCCCUCUUUUGAUGAUCCUGGGAUGGGCUCUGACCUCAAACCUCUGACUUCUGACCUCGGACGGGACCGGUCAAUCAAUCAAACCCCUGUUAUAAAAUGGGGCAGAGAAGUGUGCUUGAACUGAUAAGCUGUGGCCAGAAAAAGACAACAAAAUAUGUUUUAUUGUUCCAUAGUUUAAUUAGAGAACAUGUUCAAAACUGCCUUUUCCCACAUCUCUGCUAUCUGUUUAUAUUGGACAAAAAAAACAGAGCAAGAUUUUUUGCUAGUCAUGUCAUUCAAUUGAAUAAAGCUCAAUGCUUUAAUUAUAAAAGCACUUUUUCAUUUUUAUAACUAGGCCAGAUCCUAAGCCUGUCCUGAAGCAAGUAUUGGCUGGCACAGCAAGGCCAUAAGAAACUCCCUCAGCUAACAAGAGACUAAGAUGGGAACCUUGAGUUUGAGAUG